rnacentral:lncRNA from 1 species
AAAAAAAAUAUUAAGUGGAUUUUUUAAGAUAGAAAUGUCAGUGAUAUUUCUAUGUCAAGAUAUGAUAUUGUUAUUUAGUUAGAGUUUUUAAAAUGAGAAAGAAGUUAAUCGAAAAGUAUGCAAAAAAAAAAAAUUUAUAAUUUUUCAUUUUGCAAAAUCAAGAAUUUUAGUAUAUUUUAUCUAACAAAUAUAAAUGCUGUAUUAUUUAUAUUUGUAAAGCAAAAACAUAGUAUGAAUUCUUAGAAAUUAAAUUCUUAAGCCAUAUGCAUCAAAAUUCUUACUAUAGGUGGUCCUUGACUUAUGAUAGGAUUUGGUUUGAAUACCACUGUCGUAAGUUGAAAAUACCCAAAAUUUAUGCAUUGCCUAUUAUCAAUAUUUAUUAUUAUACUUCGCUUUAUCAUAAAAACUUAAAAGAACAUAAAAAUACAAGAACUAUACAUAAAAAGGAUGUUUUUUGUAUAUCAGACCAGUGGUCAGGGACUCAAACACUUUGAUAAAUUCUAUAAUUGGUCAAUGUAAUUAACAAUGACAUUACUGUCCUAAGUAUGAGUGAUCGAUCAUAAGUCAAGAAUACCUGCACUUUCAAUAUCAUAAAUUGUUAUUAAGUUCUACAUUAAUAAAAGCUGUAUGGGAUAAAUUUAUAAGCUUUUACCUACCUAUGGUGAGAUAUUUAUUGCAGCAUCAAAUGAAAAGCCCAUGAAUCAGCUAUUUUCUCAAGACCAUUCAAGGAAAUUAUAUGUAAACUAUUAUAUUUAAUCAUAUUUAUAAUGCAAUAAAUAAUAGCAUCCCGUAAUAUAUUAACAAGAACACUGAUUUAUUCUACUUAUACAUUAAUAGAAUACAUUAGAAUCUGAGAGCCUUGAUUUGUGUCAUACUUCCAUUUUUUGAAGAAAAAAAUCAUUUAUGCAACACAAAAUGAAGCACUUUAUGUUGCACAAAUGCAGGAAACAUUUUUCAUAACCUGUUUGAAUUUUACAGAUUAUUCUUAUAUAUGUUUGAACUUCGU